rnacentral:tRNA from 1 species
AGCCAGAAUGCUUAGUUGGUAGAGCACCUUACUUGAGAUGGAGGGGGCCCAGGUUCAAAUCCUGGUCUGGUCU